rnacentral:lncRNA from 1 species
GGAUUUUCCAAACAAGAGUACUGGAGUGGGUUGCCAUUGCCUUCUCCAGAUGGAUGGAUAGAUAUGUAAUAAAAGUAUCUAUGAAAAAACUGAGGUUUACUUUUGAUAACCAUUUGCAAAAUGGAAAAAAAAAUAGUAAACUUGGUUCUUUUUUUCAUAUAAAAUGAGAAACUUUAAAAAGCUUCUGUGUUUUCAGCUCUGUAGGAAGGUAUUUUGUUUAUAUAAAUUGUAUACUUCAGAAUUUAAUUUUACAAACAAUAAAUAUAUAAGAUAUAUUAAAUGGAUGACAUCCUAAUUAUUCUCUUUGGCUAUAAGGUUUUUAUUACAAAUAAGAGUCAUUCUUCUGACAAUAUACAUAGCAUUGUUUUAUCUCCUUCUAUUUUCUUCUGAAAGAUGAAAAUUUUCAGAAAAUGUAAAGGCCAUAAAGAUAAGAGUAAGGACCCAAAGUUAGGAAUAUGGGCUUAGACUGUGUCAAGUAGUUAAUUAAAUUAAUGCAGUGACAUGAAAAGUGAAAUUAAUUAUAAAAAAUUAUAGGAACUCUUGUGGAUGAUUUUUCUCUUAAUAGGUUGUCUUUUGAAAGUUUAUCAGUUGGCAGUGUUUAGGUCUUCCUCAUAAAUAAUUUGUAAUUGAAAGUAAAAUGAGAAUUAAUUAUAAAGUAAGACACUAGUUGUUGUUGUUGUGUUGUUCUUAGUCAUUCAGUCAUGUCCAUAUCAGACUUAAAUGAGUACAUCACUUUAUUUUGAAUGAAGCACCAUCUUUAGAGUUUACUAUUAAAACUGUUUUUAAAAAGAGAUAAAAGAAAAUUAACUGCCAGUAUUUUCUAAUAUUAUGGUAAAAGAAAAAUACCUAUGGUUUGAAAGAUAAAUGGAAGAGUAAGACCUGAACUUUUUGCAGAAAAUACUAGGGGAGUGUGUGUGUGUGUGUUUGUGUGUGUGUGUUCAGUUCAGUUCAGUAGUUCAGUUGCGUCCGACUCUUUGAGACCCUAUGGACUGCAGCACAUCAUGCUUCCCUGUCCAUCAUCAACUUCCGGAGCUUUCUCAAAAUCAUGUCCAUCGAGUUGGUGAUGCCAUCCAACCAUCUCAUCCU